AAUAACUUCUUAUUUACAACUCUAGGGUUUGAUAUAUAACCCCUGUGAAGAACAGACAUCGCCACUGUAACAAACAAACACAGCGGAUCUUAUCAAACAGCUUUUGGAAAUUUACACCGAUGUCGUUCCAGAAAAGCGUAGUUCAACGUUCUAAACUAAAGAUUGUGACUUUUCUCAGUAAAGAAACAAUAAUCCCGUUAUAAGUUGUCAGAACUCGGAACAAUUGGACCAAGGAACUUCCAGCAAAUAAUAAAACCAUCUACAAUAGCAAUCAAGACCUUCACUCCUAACUCUGCAAUGUUGAGCCAGAUUUUACCUCUGCGGUUUGCACCUCAUCCUAUGCGUCCACAAGAUCUCUCUUUAUGUCGGCGGCUUAAUGUCUGUAGAUCCAGCUGUUGACAUUGCACUCUCUACACUCUCUAGGUGCUUCCGCGAUUCUGUUCCACGAGUGUGGCGUGGCGCGGCCGAUGUAGGAGAGGAGACGGGAUGGAGGUGGGGAGCUGCUGCUUAUUCGAUCCGGCGCUCGAUGCGAGAGGACAAAGAAGGACGGGGCUCUGCCUGCUGCGCCCAUCCUCGCCUCCCUCUCUAUUCACAGGAGCUUGACCCCGCCGCCCUCUCCCUCCACGGGAACGCCAUGAUCCGGGGCUUC
rnacentral:lncRNA from 1 species